CAGGACUUCUGCGUGGCCGACCUGACGGGCCCACAGACCCCGUCAGGGUACACCUGCAAGCCCCCGGCCAACGUCACCGCCGAAGACUUCGUGUUCACCGGCUUCCGCAAGGGCGGCAACACCACCAACAUCAUCAAUGCCGCUGUCUCACCGGCCUUUGACGCGCAAUUCCCGGGCCUAAACGGGCUGGGCCUGUCCAUAGCCCGCCUCGAUUUGGCCCCUGGGGGUGUGAUCCCAAUGCACACCCACCCAGGGGCCUCUGAGGUAAUCCUGGUCGUCCAGGGUUCCUUAGUAACCGGAUUUGUUUCUUCCGCGAACGCUGUUUACGUGAAGAAGCUUCUCAAGGGGGAUAUUAU
rnacentral:lncRNA from 1 species